rnacentral:lncRNA from 1 species
AGGUUUCAGAAAUUCGAAUUUGAAGGUUAGUGAGUAUUUCUAAGAUCUUUAGCAAUCUAUCAAUUGGAUUGAAGUGAUUUUUAGUUUUUUUUAUGGAUAUUAGAUUUGAUUUUAAAUAUUUAAAUGAAAUUUGAAAGUAAUUCAAAGAUUCAAGAAGGAAAUAUUGGUACUAGAAGUUUAACAUUCAUAUUAGAAUAGAAGGCCGUUCAAUAUUCAAUUGGAUUAUCUUACAUUUUUUUCAAUUGAUAAGUGCAAUUGAUUUCAUCUUUCGUAUACUUGUUCUUAACUAAGACAUUAAGUGAGAAAAUUUUGAGUUGAUAUCAAUAAUUUGAUUAUUAGUUAUUGAAGUUCUAUUUUAUUAUAGGAUUUGUUAAGAAUUUGUUUAAAAUCUAGGAUUUGAUUUAGAUUAGGAUUUGUUUAGGAUUUGAUUUAGAACUUAUCUAAGGUUU